GUCUUAACUGUCUCCUGUAGGUAAUCAGUGAAAUUAGUACUCCCGUGCAAAAACUAGAAUGUGAUCAUAAGACGAGAAGACCCUGUGGAACUUAAAAAUAACGACCACUCCUCCACCAACACCAUCCACUGGACCCACCCCCAUAAACACUUGGUCGACAUUUUUCGGUUGGGGCGACCUUGGAGAAAAAUAAAUCCUCCAAACCCACAGACCACAACUCUUCACUAAGACCUACCUAUCAAAGUACUAACAGUAAUCCAGACCCAAUACAAUUGACCAAUGAACCAAGCUACCCCAGGGAUAACAGCGCAAUCUCCUCCAAGAGCCCAUAUCGACAAGGAGGUUUACGACCUCGAUGUUGGAUCNNNNNNNNNNAUUGAAUCCUAGCUUGAACGGGCCUAGAAAUCAACACCUUAGCCAUCAUCCCACUCAUCUCUAAAUCUCAUCAUCCUCGAGCAAUCGAAGCUACAAUCAAAUAUUUUCUUACCCAAUCAACUGCAUCAGCCUUAAUCCUAUUUUCGAGCCUAACCAACGCCUGAUCCACUGGUCAAUGAGAUAUCACACAACUUAAUCACCC
rnacentral:rRNA from 1 species